rnacentral:rRNA from 1 species
GACGAACGCUGGCGGCGUGCUUAACACAUGCAAGUCGAACGGAAAGGCCCAGCUUUCUGGGUACUCGCGUGGCGAACGGGUGAGUAACACGUGCGUUAUCUGCCCUCCUCUUUGGGUUAAGCCUGUGCAACUGGGUCUAAUACCUGCUAUGUUCUACUUUCGCCUGCUUGUUGGUGUAAAGCUUUUGCGGUUGACGAUGGGCUCGCGGCCUAUCAGCUUGUUGGUGGGGUAAUGGCAUACCAAGGCGACGACGGGUAGCCGACCUGAGAGGGUGAUCGGCCACACGGGGACUGAGACACGGCGCAGAAUCCUACGGGAGGCAGCAGUGGGGAAUAUUGCACAAUGGGCGCAAGCCUGAUGCAGAGACGCCGCGUGAGGGAUGACGGCCUUCGGGUUGUAAACAUCUUUCACCAGAGACGAAGCGUGAGUGACGGUACCUGGAGAAGAAGCACCGGCCAACUACGUG